rnacentral:rRNA from 1 species
UAGGGAAUCUUCCACAAUGGACGCAAGUCUGAUGGAGCAACGCCGCGUGAGUGAAGAAGGUCUUCGGAUCGUAAAGCUCUGUUGUUGGUGAAGAAGGAUAGAGGCAGUAACUGGUCUUUAUUUGACGGUAAUCAACCAGAAAGUCACGGCUAACUACGUGCCAGCAGCCGCGGUAAUACGUAGGUGGCAAGCGUUGUCCGGAUUUAUUGGGCGUAAAGCGAGCGCAGGCGGAAUGAUAAGUCUGAUGUGAAAGCCCACGGCUCAACCGUGGAACUGCAUCGGAAACUGUCAUUCUUGAGUGCAGAAGAGGAGAGUGGAACUCCAUGUGUAGCGGUGGAAUGCGUAGAUAUAUGGAAGAACACCAGUGGCGAAGGCGGCUCUCUGGUCUGCAACUGACGCUGAGGCUCGAAAGCAUGGGUAGCGAACAGGAUUAGAUACCCUGGUAGUCCAUGCCGUAAACGAUGAGCGC